GGCCCGGCCCGCGCCGCCGCCGCGCCGCGCGGAAGAAAGGCUUCGCGGGUCUCGUCCGGCAGCGAGACGGCACCGGGUUAUCGUCCGCGCUCUGCGAGCGCCGAACUCGGCGCGGAUGCGCCUGCCGGUGGCCGAAAGCCCGCCCUGCUGCCGCCGCCGCGUGCGCGGCCCGUUUGUGAGGGCGGGCCCGGCGCUAAGCGGGAGCCGUUACCCGCCGGCCGAGCUGCGGGAGAACGGCCGGACGGCCAGACCGUAGGAAAAGCAGCUCGUCUCUCUGGACUCGUAGUCUGCCUUCGCGCGGUGCCUGCACUGCUAGCUUAAAGCCCGUUGCCGUCGCACCGUGACACCGGGCGGGUUCUCCCAGGUGCCGGCUGCACUCCUCUGCCGUAACGCCGCCAGCUCCCAUCGGCCCGCUUUCCCGCAGCGUGCAGCACCGCCGUUACCGCAGCGUCCUGCUGCCCUUAUCGUCGUUUCUCAGCAGUAACUGCCCACUUAAUCUUACAAGAAAUUAAAGAAGCUAAAUGCAAAAUGAGUAGUACAGUAACAGCAAUGAAUAAUCGUGCUCUGCACACAGCGAGUUAGAGUCACAACUUUAUUUUGAGAGGUUUUUUCUCUUGUUUAGCAUACAUUUCUCUGGCAUAAUCACUUGAAGACAGCCUGUGCCUGUUAUCACUCAUGUAACCCAAGUUGUUUAUUCACAUAUUCCUCUUUUCCUGUUGGAACAUUUAGUUGUUAUGUUCCAAAAACCCCAUGUUCUUCCUCUGCGAGUUCACAUUUUCGUGAAACAGUCCCUCUUUACUGGUGAUGCUACAAACUUUAGUACACUUAUCUAGAACCUGUUGAUCCAUUCACCUCAAGCUAGCUUUUCUUUUCCCAGGCACCCAAGCUUGUCUUCAGACAGAAUCAGAGCAAAAAACAGCAAGGAGGAAGUGCUUUUGACUCACAAAAAGUAAGGAAAUAUAAGUAAUGUAGAAAAGGAAGACGUUGGUGAUGGGCUUACCAAAAUACUAUGGGUAAGAACUUUGAAGGAAGACAGUUUACUGGCAUGAUUAAAUUCACACCACCAUUAUACAAACAACGUUAUGAGUUUGUUAAGGAUUUAGUGAGGAAAUACAAACCGAAAAAGGUGGCAGAUUUAGGAUGUGCUGACUGUACACUUCUCUGGAUGCUGAAAUUCUGUAGUUGCAUUGAAGUGUUAGCUGGGCUAGAUAUCUGUGCAGCUGUGAUGAAAGAGAAAAUGCAUAGGUUAACUCCUCUUCCUGCUGAUUAUUUGGAGCCAUCUGAAAGAUCCCUAACUGUGACUUUGCAUCAAGGCUCAGUUGCUCAUAAAGAUCCCUGCAUGCUUGGUUUUGACUUGGUAACAUGCAUUGAAUUAAUAGAGCACCUGCAAGAUUCAGAACUAGAGAAGUUUCCUGAAGUGGUGUUCGGUUUCAUGGCUCCAAGCAUGGUUGUGAUCAGUACUCCAAAUUCAGAAUUUAACACAUUGCUUCCGGGAGUGACUGUUUUCAGGCAUCCAGACCACAAAUUUGAAUGGGACCGAGCACAGUUUCAAAGUUGGGCUCAAGAUACUGCUCAACGCUAUGAUUACUCAGUGGAAUUCACAGGUGUAGGGAACCCCCCAACAGGAAUGGAAGAUGUCGGGUUCUGUACCCAAAUAGGUGUGUUUGUUAAAAAAUACCCUCAAACUAGAGAACCUGUGCUGUGUGAGAAACCCACUGAAGCAGCUUACAAAACCGUCUUCAAAGCAGUGUAUCCGAGCCUUAAAGAUGAGAAGUAUCUGCAGAAUGCAGUGGUCAGUGAAGUUAUGUUCAGAGCACAAAUCAUUAAGCGAAGUCUGCUGGCCCAUUUACUGUCAGAAUAUGAAGAAUAUGAUGAUCCUACAGAGAGAAAAUUGAAACUGCAAUGUUCAGUGAACUGUUCUUCAGAAGAUUUUGAAACAAUGACUGUUGAAAAAAGCAUGGAGCCAUUCAUCAGUGGAAAUGUGGUUUAUGUACCUCUGAGAAAAAUUUUUUCUUUUCCCAAAGUAAAUCAGCUCUGUGGCACUUUUGAGAAGUUUUGCAGGCUUAUUACUGGCAAAGUCACACUGAACAGUGAUUGUUCUGCUGUGAUGCUCGAUACCGAAAAUGAAAACGAAGAGAAUUAGAUUGGUUUUCUUACUUCAAGUUCAAUGUGUAAAAAUGACACAUUCAGUGUUGAGAGAGAGCUUAAAUGAGAUCAGACCCAGAAGGAGCGUUCAGUGUGUUCUGGCAUCAAAAACAGGAGAAAGUGGAGAAAGCACACAGGAAAAAAGAAGGUCGUGCUGUGUGGUCAUACAGGGAGUUCAGUCAACUAAUCCGUUGCUGACACUUGUACUGGUUCAACAGAAGAAGGCAGGCAAGAAUGAGCAGUUGGGUGUGGAGAAGGCAGAAAAUUACUUAUAGCAAGAAUUGGAGAAAAUCAUUUAUCUCCUGUGCUCAUCUUUCCCUCUGUUGUUUGCCCAUAUCAGAAGGUCCACAAAAUAUACCUGUGUGGUCACUGAUAGCAUUCACAGUUCUGGUGUUUCAUAUCUUUUUUUUUUUCCCCUUUAGAAAGAAAAUUAUUUAUCCUAACACUAUGUUUUUUUUCUUCAUAUAUUACAUGCAACAGUGGUGCACAGCCUUAUGUUAAUUCCUAAGCUCCUUUCCUUCUAGUGUUUGUUUUUGUUUUUUUUUUAGGAACCAUGUUGCAAAGAAUAUGUAUCAUUUAGAUAUCAUUUAUUGUAUAUCUGAGACAUUGGCAUUAAAUACAGCUAGAAAACAUAUCCCAAACAGUUCACAACAUGAGUGUCCAAUGUUCUUACAGCAUAGUUUACAAAAAAGAAAAUAGAUUAAGUACUAAGGUUGUGUUCUAUCUAAAAUAUGUGCAAUUCAGUAAUUACUUGGUUAAGAAUUGUAGCUUGAAGAUGAACAAUAAAAUGCCAGAACACAGCUUUAUUUAAAGCUCAAUUUCCAUGUAAAACUUUCUCCUAUUUAUAAAACUCUGCCCAGGCAAGAAAAUAACGGGUUUCUAGUACACAAAUAGCUUAUCUGUGACAGUUAGCUGUGGAUUUUAACAUAGAAGACAAAUCUGGGCUAUGGAAAUUCCCUUUCACAAUUACAUAUGUAGCUGUACAGUGUUUUUACAUUUCUUCUAGCUGUGCCUAGUUUUCCUAGUAAACUAGGAAAGUAUUAAUGGUUCUACUAGAUUGGUCAAAAAAGCAUAGCAGUGUUUACAAGUACUGAAGGCAACAUAAUGCAUUUUCCACGCAUCUUCCGGUUUGCAAUAGGUUGUGGCUUUUUUGUUGUUGUUUUUUUUUUAUAAAUUAGGAAAUGGUCAGGCUCUGAGAGACAGUAUACUAGCAAUCAGGUAUUGUCUGCCAUUUCCCCAAUGAAAUUUUAGAUAAUAUCACUCUUACAGCAGCUAGAAUAUAUUUGCAUUAAUUCUUUUUACCCAUAGAAAUGUUUAGAUUAUAGUUUACAGCAGGAAAUAUAUUGAAGUACCAGAAUAGAGAAAUAACUCAUUCAUCUUAUUCAGUAACACUACUCAAGCUUCAAACUCUGAAACUUCCUUAAAACCAAGUAAGUUUAAGGAACUACUAUGCAUUUAUGGAAAACUAAGUCUGAUUUUCCCUAAUUAAACCAGUUAAAUAAGGCCUACUUAUACUUCAAAAAGAUGUUAAACUUGAGUUUGAGAUGAAUUUAAAGCAUUCAGAGCUUUCUAAAAAUGGUCAUGCUAUUUGUAUUACUUAUUUUUUUAAUAAUUAUUGAUUAAUAAUACAAUCAGUCGUAACAAAAUACAAGUCAGCUGCGGAUAACGAUUAAGAUUACAGCAGAUCCAAGCCCAAACUGGAAAUAUGUCAUCAGAAGUACGUUAUUAGAAAUAUGGAUUCUUUCAAAAUUCUUAACAAAACUUUUAAUAAUUUUCUUUCUUCAUUCAUCUUUCUCAUCUGGCAGGCAAAUCACUAUCUGUGCAAAUGUAAGUACAGUCCAUUGUCCUUAAUGUAACAGUAGACGGAUAGUGAUGGAAUAAGUGUUCAACAUGAAAAGGCAAAUCUGUUGCACAAAAAUUCUUUUUAAGAGCGUAGAAUACGUCUAGAAUAAAGUGCUUAUCUUAAUAAGUUAUACUGGUAGUAGUUUAGAUGUUUACCUAGUUUUAAAGCUUAAAUAGUUUAAUAUCUCUGUACCUUCCCUAUCCCCUCAAGGCACCUUCCAACACAAGAAAAACACUAACUGAGGAGGGUUAAACUACAAUAAAAAGUUGAAAGUAGUAGUAAACUACUGAUGAGGUUUGUAAAUGGUACCAUCCCACUGAAUCUCUAGGUUUGUGCACAGAAGCAAGUUUCUGUGUAAGGGACUUCUGAACUCCGUCAUUAACAAUCCUAAGGGAAACAACCAGCAUUCUUGAUAGUAACUGCUGUGCAUUGGUAUUUUGAUAUAUCCUACUUGCUUUGUCACUUGUACAGUGCAUUUCAUAAUGUAAGCAUCUAGAUAUCAAUUAUAAUUAACACAACCUAUUACUGGCUGAUAUACAUCUACAGAAUCUUUUUUAACGCAUGCGAGUUUCACCUCCACUCUUCAUCCUUAAAAUGAGAUUAUGUUCAGUACUUUUCAGAAGAGAUUUUGGCUAUAUAAAACGGAGCUCUGGGGAAGCCAUAACCUUCACAUGAUAGUAGCUUUGACUUGAUAGAAGGAGGUAGCUUUUCUAAGGCUUUCAUAACAGGUAGCAUCAAAUUGAGUCUUAAUUCAUUUCUACGGG